AGUAAAAUUCAAUAAGUUAAGCAAUAUUUAAUUAUUCACACAAAUAGGUUAAAAUAACAAUUGUGCAAUUCGGUGCCAGUAAACUUUAUAUUACAGUUAGCAUAGUAAGCAAGAUAUAAUAAUAAGAAAUGUAAAUAAAUUUGUUUAAUAAUUUACUAAUCGGGUUAAAAUAACAAUUACACAAUAAUCAUAGUAUCUAUAAUUGCAAAUUUAACGUAGUAAUAGAAAAAUGUAGAACAAUCGAUAGUAAUUCGAUUGUAAGUGUAAUAUAUAAGUGAGAUGGCUAAGACAGCAAAGGGAGUCAGUGGUGGUGAUCGUGUGACUCGAUCACCACCGGACGUCGUGUUCAAACUUCAAAUAAAGUAUUUUGCGUUAUUUUGUGUUUAACUUUAUUUUGGUAUACGUCCGAGUAAUCGGCGUAUACGACAACACGGAGAUCUACCAUUUGACUACCAAGCAUAUAUUCACUCAAGUCUCAACUGUGAACUUUUAUUUUAAUCAUGAUUUUAUUUAUGAAAUAGUUUAAGUGUGAUUUUCUAGAUUAAAUAAUUUAUUUUUUAUUUUAUACUUUGUAAUUCAAACUUUAAAGAUCAUAAUAUAUUCAAAUACUUGGAUUUUUUAUAUUAAUUAUGUAGCGUUUAAUUUUAGAGUAAUAGUCCAUGAUAGCGGUUAAAAACAUGAAGGGGACAAUGAUGAUACAUACUAUAUGCUGUAAUAUACAAAUAACUGGGCUUAACCUAUUCAACAUAUACAGUGGAUAGUGGUAGGCGCUGUAGGUACAUCACUGUCAUACAUACCUCCCAGGAUAUAUAUGGAUAGCCCGACAUAGGUACACAAGAUCGAAUGAAAUUGUGUUGAAAUACAUUUUUAGAAACGUGAGAGAAAUUGAAACAUACAUUUUGUGAAAUUUAAAAAAUUGUUAAUACAUUUAAUGCGCAAAUGUAAAAUACAAAAAUCAUUUUUUUAAAUGGUAUAACAACUGUUAUAAGGAUAACCUAGGAUUUAUAAAAUUUUAAAUAUUGAGUAAAUGAGCAAUGUGCCAAAUGUAUUAUAAUUUUAUAAUGAUGUUAU